rnacentral:lncRNA from 1 species
GCAUCUGCGGCUUCCGUCUCAGGAAAGAACCCCCGAGCGAGGCUUGCUAAUCCCAAGUCUGAGGCGAGAACACAUUUUUAAGCUUAUCCCCAACUCCCGGCCUCGCUUUGGCUGUCCUAGAAGCGGAACCUGGUUCCCGUCUUCCUGACCUCGACGCCUGCCGCCUGGUCUGUUGGCCUCAAGACAUUCCUGGCAUCAGAGCUGGAAGGGAACAAAGUCCCUCUGGUCCAAGGGUCCCUUUUACAGACGGUGAGGUCUAGAGCAAAAAAUAACUUACUAGUGGAAUCGGCAGUCCUUCCUAGAAAAACCAACCCAUUUAUUUGCUUCUCCAGGCUCUGGAGGAAGAGCCAGUCUCACCUGGCGCCCGUCAGAGCCCUUGGCAUGCAGCUCCCACAGGGACACCCUCGAACCGCGCCGACGAGCCGGGGAAGCCGCGCAUCCUCCGCCACGUACCCCUCUUCCUUCUGGAAGCGGCGGCGAACAGAGAUGUUUUGGGUGAGCCUGGCAUCUCUCUUCUCCCACCCUUCAGGAGC